AUGUUCUUAAACUUGUCACUUUGAUAUUUGUUUGGUCCAAGAUACCAUAGAGAAAUUGAAUGGCAGAUGAAAUAGGCAGAAGGGAUUGCUUGUGGUAACAUUAAUGGAAGGUAACCUGUGGCAUCUUCAAAAGUACUACUGAAGAUUUCUGAAAAAUUCAGUUGUGCACUUCAGACUACUGAGUUAUAGGGUUAGGUCUACUUUCAAAUAGUAGCAAUUGUGUGAAUGAAGAGUUUCUCCAGGAGAAAGAGGGGAAAGGGAACUGAACCAUUGCCACUACUUGUGUUAUAUUUUUCACAGGAAGGAUGAUAAAAUGUGAGUGUACUAUUAAUUGAAUUAGAUCCAUUUAUAUCAUCAUUAGGCUGCAAGUGCCUAUAUUUGUUAUCUGAACUAUUUUAUUGGAUGCCAAAGUUAGCCUCUUAUACCUGAUGGAGGAAUACCAUACAAACCAUUGUUCUGCUUUUUUUUUUUUUUGCCAUAUCUUAAGCUAUUUCCACCUGAGAGCGCACCUUGUUCCUUAUUUUCGGUCCACAAUAAAUUCCAAAACUUCAGCAUUGCUCCCUCAUUCUGCGUAGAUUGUGUGCUGUAGAUAUUGGUGCUUGAUGGCUUGGCAUCAGUGGUGAACUUUGCUCCCUGCAAAAUGCUGUUUUGGGGGAGUCAAAGAAUUCCCCAGAACAGAAUGGGAAAUGUUGUUGUGAGCUGUCAGAGGAAGGAGAAACUGUCAGAGAUCAUAUCCUCUCCCUUCUUCCAGCUGGAGCUUCUCUUGGAUUGUUGUCUUCUCUAUGGAUAGAAAUAUGCCCCCUACCACUUUUUUUAAUCUGAGAAGGGAUUCUGGAUCCAGCCCAGUAGAUUUUGAAGGAUGUUGCUAGGUUCAGUGUGUUCACCCAGACGCCAGAAAUUGGAUUCAAUUCAGUUGCCAAAAUCUUGUGGACCAAAACAGUGAAAAUAAUCAGAGACAAGUUUUGCAAUCUAAUUUUUUUACUACAGGAACUUUGUCACUGGCUUGUUAAGAAGAGGUAGCAAUUUUUGAUCAAUUUAGAAUGUAUCCAGCUAAAUAUCACAAUGAUCCUAAUACAUUUAUAGUGGCUCAGAAUAGUUUCCUUAAAACUAUAUUGUGGCACCAUUUAAGUUAGACUUAAUGGCCCAGCCGUUCUGUAUAAGGUCUUGUUGCAUUCCCAUAGAAUGAUAUAGAGCAGUUCUUAGAGAAAAGUCUUGAGAUGUCUUGGAUAUUGCUCUACAUAUAGAAGAGUCCAGUUAGACUUCCUUAUUGUUGGAAUAGCCUCAAUCUCAAGUCAUUUUCCAGUCUACGGUGCCGACACGUAUUUGCCUAAUUGGCAGACCAUCGGUUCUGUUGAAACAUGACUUAAGCUCUAUCUUGGCUUCUAAUUCAGCCCCCUCUCUUUUUAAUGCCUGCUUACCACCAUGGUUUGCUGUACUUGGUUUGAAACUGCCAGCAACUUGAGGCACAGACAUAGGGCAAAAUGAAUCCAGAAUAACAAACAACCUAAUUCUUUGUUUCAGUGAGUUUGUUAUUCAGAAGUAAGGACGAACACUUGCAAAUGGCCUUUCAGGGAAUGACUUUAAAAUAAUUGACAGUGUAACAGUGACAAACCAGUAGCUGUGUGAUGGCAGCUUGAUAUACAGAUAGAUUUGUGGGGUGAGCACUUUGGGUGCACAGCUCAUUGUGUGGAAGUGUUGGGUUCCCCAACCCCCAUACACACCCGUGCAAAACAUUCUUACUCAUUUUAGCAGCUUUGUGAGAAUGUUGAGACUUCUGUGGUGAGCUGCUGCCUAUGAUUUGGGUUGCCAUAUGCAACAGCCUGUCAAUGGGCAUGGAUUUCAGGCAGCCAUCACACUGCUGAUUGGAGUACAGGCUCCGCCAUGAAAUGUUCAUUAAUUCCUUAUUCCAGCUGCUCAGUCUUUGACUGAUCUCUGUUUAGCUGGCGUGAUUUACUUUAGACGACAGAGGUGACUGAUACAGGAAAAGCCAAGUUGAUCAGUAGAGUUGCGGUCAAUCUUUUGAUUUGACAACUUCUUUAACAUUCUUUGUUUCUGUAUCACAUUGUACGUUUCUUUUUGAAGUUGAAGAAUAAAAGGUAUUACGCACUUACAUAACAAGGAAGAUUAAAAUAAGACCAGCUCUUAUAUUUGAUCUGGGCUAAUCCUUCACUAUAAGGAAUAGUAUUGAACCCAAAGGGAUGAGAAGUAAUAGCUCACUUUUUCAAUAAAAGUGUCUUGCAUUGUCUGAAUAUGUUUCGUUUUGGCAUUGUAGAAAACUCAUCUGUUGCCAUUAAUGUUGCGUCCUCGAAAUGAUAGCACUGUUGAGCUUCUUCCUGGGUUUUACUACUGUUUUCCUCUCUUGUGCUCUUUAUGAUCUGUAAGCACUACCAGAACAUCUAGUCUAUUUAGUUCACUUAAGAUCUAUUUAUUUAUCAAACCCUGUACCCUACGCCAUUUAAUGAAGCUGUAACAUUCUCUGUGAUGCUUGGGGUGUCUGUAAAUUUGUGAAGCUGCUGCAUGUCAGUCUGUUCAUAAGUAUAAAACAUUACUUGUAUCAUAAUUGAUCCUAUUUGGUUUUUAUUCAUGGUGUUGUUUUUCAAAUUGUUGUAUUUUGACAAAUGGUUUCUAAAAGCAGACGGGAAUAAUUGCCUGUCUAACACAACAGUGUCUGCUGAGUACUGUGUUAUUUCAGUGUCUGAAAUUUGCACAAAGUGCGUAUUGUUGAACUAGGGAACAAGGUCUUUACCUUUCUUUGGGUUUCUUACAUUGUUUGCACCAUUGAAUAUAUGACACUGCAUCCAAUAGCAUGUGAAGGUUUUAAAAAUCCCAAAUAGGCUUACUGGUGUUCCUGAAGAAUUGAUAUGGCACAAUAUGCUUAAUCCUGUUCCUCUAUUCCCUGCUUCUCAUAUGGAUGACAAUUCUACCAUAACCUUGAUGCUCAGAACAUUUGCCUGCUUUCCAGACCUCUCAGUCACUUGACAAAAUGUCCUUUAUAACUUAAUAUUGACACUAAAUUGAACAGAGACUCCAUCAUGUACAAAGCAUAUUAUAUGUUGCUCCAGAGCUUAGAAGUUUGGGGUGAGUGAGUUUGAAGUUGGUUUAUAAACAAGUAAAAAUGUUGCAUUUUCAUUGCACUUCAUUCAUUGUCUUUCAAAUUUUUUUCCUUGGAAGAAAGCAACUGAAAGCUUUAAAAGCAGGAUUAGCUUGUUGCACCAUGUAGUUCAAAAGGGUGCUCACAUUGUCUGAGUUUAACAACAGCCUUGCAUAGGUUUAGCUCCCUGAUCAGUCCGUUGAGAGAUUUAUUAAGAUAAAUAGGAGAAAAACAAUAGAAUUUGCUCAAGCAGCAAGGAAAAUUGUUAAUUCAGUGUAGGCUAUAAAAAUGCUCUGGUACUUUGGUACAACCGUGCAAAUAACAGGUAAUGUUUAGAUUCCAUACAUAGAAGUUGUGCAAAAGUAGCCUGAAGGAAUGAAAGUUGGUUUCGAAAAGAAGUAUCCCAAUUGCUGAGAACUUAACAACUCCAACUUACUUACUUACUUACUUAGGUGAUCCUCAUUGUCCAAGUAGGAUAGUCUUCCAACUCCAACAUGUACAAAACAAGUGUGUAAAAUAAAUUAAAAUCAAAAGUCAUGGAACCAGAUCACGUCAUCCAAUUCUUAGCAGGAAUACAAGAAUUUAGACUACUGUUUGAUAAAGGUAUAAAUGAAUGCUGAUAUAGAAAUGGCAGAUACAUUACAUGAAUUUUUUGCAUCCAUCCUUUACUGCAGUUAAGGACGCAUCCUGUGCUUGCCACGUUGCUCUCCAACCCUACUAUUGCAAACCUGUCAAAUAGAGGUGGAAAAUUAGUCCAAAAUGUUAAGAGUGUAUGUCGGCUGCUACACUGGAUAUCCCUCGCCAAAAAACUUCUAUGCAAAACUGUUCCGCUUUGGCCUCUGAUUCCCAAAUGCUGCGAGGCACAAGUAUAUGACCAACAUCACCCAUCCCCUUCUUAUGAAGUUCCUGCUCCUGGAGGACAACUGCUGGAAUAAGUGGACCUCAGUCAUAUCCAUUGUGGGAGUUGUAAAGCUGUUAAUAGUGAUCUUUGCUCAACAUGACAGCAUGGCCAUGUUCUGAAUUGGUAUAAUGAUUAAACUGUUAAAAAUAAAGAAAA